rnacentral:rRNA from 1 species
ACACUGUCAAGAAAAGCCGCUAGCGAGAGCGUAGGUGCCCGUACCGCAAACCGACACAGGUAGAUGAGGAGAGAAUCCUAAGGUGAGCGAGAGAACUAUUGUUAAGGAACUCGGCAAAAUGACCCCGUAACUUCGGGAGAAGGGGUGCCAUCGAAAGAUGGCCGCAGUGAAAAGGCCCAGGCGACUGUUUACCAAAAACACAGGUCUCUGCUAAAGCGAAAGCUGAAGUAUAGGGGCUGACGCCUGCCCGGUGCUGGAAGGUUAAGGGGACUGCUUAGAGCGAUCGAAGGCAUGAACUUAAGCCCCAGUAAACGGCGGCCGUAACUAUAACGGUCCUAAGGUAGCGAAAUUCCUUGUCAGGUAAGUUCUGACCCGCACGAAAGGCGUAACGAUCUGGGCACUGUCUCAACAAUAGACUCGGUGAAAUUGUAGUACCGGUAAAGAUGCCGGUUACCCGCAGCAGGGCGGAAAGACCCCAUGGAGCUUUACUGCAGCUUGAUAUUGGAAUUCGGCAUUGCAUGUACAGGAUAGGUGGGAGACUGAGAGAAGAGUACGCCAGUAUUCUUGGAGUCACCGUUGGGAUACCACCCUUGUAAUGUUGAGUUUCUAACGACGUGCCGUGAACCGGCACUCGGACAGUGUCUGGCGGGCAGUUUGACUGGGGCGGUCGCCUCCUAAAGAGUAACGGAGGCGCCCAAAGGUUCCCUCAGUGCGGACGGAAAUCGCACGAAGAGUGUAAAGGCAGAAGGGAGCUUGACUGCGAGACAAACAGGUCGAGCAGGGACGAAAGUCGGGCUUAGUGAUCCGGUGGUACCGAGUGGAAGGGCCAUCGCUCAACGGAUAAAAGCUACCCUGGGGAUAACAGGCUGAUACCCCCCAAGAGUCCACAUCGACGGGGGUGUUUGGCACCUCGAUGUCGGCUCGUCUCAUCCUGGGGCUGAAGUAGGUCCCAAGGGUUGGGCUGUUCGCCCAUUAAAGAGGUACGCGAGCUGGGUUCAGAACGUCGUGAGACAGUUCGGUCCCUAUCCGCUGUGGGCGUUGGAGAAUUGAGUGGAGCUGUUCUUAGUACGAGAGGACCGGGAUGGACGUAGCUCUGGUGCACCAGUUGUACUGCCAAGUGCAUAGCUGGGUAGCCACCUACGGACGGGAUAAGCGCUGAAAGCAUCUAAGUGCGAAGCCCCCCACAAGAAAAGAUCUCCUCCAGAAAUGGUAAGACCCGUGAGAGACUAUCACGUAGAUAGGCCUCAGGUGUAAGUGCAGUAAUGUAUUAAGCUGAGAGGUACUAAUAGGUCGAACACUUGAC